ACUAGAAGGCAAAUAGGGUGGCGUAUUUGCGAACUAGGUCGCCUCCUUUAUGGUGAAUCAUUUGGGGAGGACGGUCUUAUGGAUGGUGAUGGUAAUUAUUUCUGCUAUUCUUCGUGAUUUUUUUUUGUCUGAUUUUAUUGGAUGUAUUCAUAUUAGAUGCAUGUGAGCAUUCCAUCUUAUUAAAAAAAAAACUAAUAUUAGGA
rnacentral:lncRNA from 1 species